AGAAGAAGCACCGGCCAAAUACGUGCCAGCAGUCGCGGUAAUACGUAGGGUGCGAGCGUUGUCCGGAAUUAUUAGGCGUAAAGGGCUCGUAGGCGGUUUGUCGCGUCGAGAGUGAAAACACUGGGCUUAACCGAGUGCUUGCUUUCGAUACGGGCAGACUUGAGACAUUGAGGGGAGAACGGAAUUCCUGGUGUAGCGGUGAAAUGCGCAGAUAUCAGGAGGAACACCGGUGGCGAAGGCGGUUCUCUGGCAAUGUUCUGACGCUGAGGAGCGAAAGUGUGGGGAGCGAACAGGAUUAGAUACCCUGGUAGUCCACACCGUAAACGUUGGGCGCUAGGUGUGGGGCUUAUUCCAUGGGUUCCGUGCCGCAGCUAACGCAUUAAGCGCCCCGCCUGGGGAGUACGGCCGCAAGGCUAAAACUCAAAGGAAUCGUCGG
rnacentral:rRNA from 1 species